rnacentral:rRNA from 1 species
UCGAGGAUCUUCGGCAAUGGGCGCAAGCCUGACCGAGCGACGCCGCGUGUGCGAUGAAGGCCUUCGGGUUGUAAAGCACUGUCGAGGGGGAGGAAAGCCGUAAGGUCUGACCUAUCCCUGGAGGAAGGACGGGCUAAGUUCGUGCCAGCAGCCGCGGUAAGACGAACCGUCCUAACGUUAUUCGGAAUCACUGGGCUUAAAGGGCGCGUAGGCGGAUGAGCAAGUCCGGAGUGAAAUCUUUCGGCUUAACCGGAAAAGUGCUUUGGAUACUGCUCAUCUUGAGGGAGGUAGGGGCAUGUGGAACUUCUGGUGGAGCGGUGAAAUGCGUUGAUAUCAGAAGGAACGCCGGUGGCGAAAGCGACGUGCUGGCCCUCUUCUGACGCUGAGGCGCGAAAGCUAGGGGAGCAAACGGGAUUAGAUACCCCCGUAGUCC